rnacentral:lncRNA from 1 species
AUGGCAGCAGAGAUUCUCUCUUCCAGAGGUUGAUUAUCAUUGCGAGCAUUCACAGCUCUCCUGGGUGCCAUGUUCUGGCAGAACAUAACACUACAGGGUUAAACAUUUGCUUGAUAUCGUCACCCUAGACAUUAGUAGCAUAUAUAUUCACAGGUAUAUAUACCACAUAAGUGACAUCAAACAAUUAUUACUCCAACAGAGUACAUAGUAGGCUUGCACUAAGGGAAUCUAUACGUGACAAGACUUGCUGUGAUUUCUGUGCACUGAAUUCCAUAAUUAUGUAUGCAUCCAUAAUUACGUAACUCCUUGCACAGUCUGCACAGUUCGUUUCAUCCUCGUGUUUCCUCCUUCAGUUAAGUCAUUGUUUUCAGGCAAAGUCAUGUAUACUAGUGGUAUUCUACAUCUAGUACAUGUAUAU